UUAUCUGUCUGACCUCGGGGAUCCUCUCUGGCUGCAAGGACGGCUUAUGCCUUUUUUUUUUUCUUUUCUUUUCUUUUUUUUUUUUUUUUUUUUUUUUUUUUUUUUUUUUGUCUCCUGAGAACUGGCUUCCUCCUGCACUUGGAACCAGCAUCUGAGCAAGCUGAGAAAGAUCCUGUGAUCUCCAAGAAAUAUUCAGGGCCAAGUGGCCAUGGAAGAAUCUUGGAGGAAGAGGGCACGGUGCCCUUUGCCUGUUGGAAAGGCCUCUGGCCUCUACCCGUGUUACCAGGAGUGGGAAGCGGGCACCAGGCUCUGUGCUGCCAUGCGUCAGCUUCACCAGACAUCUCUGAAGAUUCUCCUUUACUGGCUCCCUGCUAACGUGCCUGGGAAAACAGCGGAAGAUGGCCCAAGUACUUAGGACCCUGCCAGCCACCUGGGAGACCUGGAAGAAACUUUGGCUCCUGGCUUUGGUCUGGCCCAAUGCUGUUUGUUAGAACCAGCAGAUGGAAGAUCUCUCUCUCUCUCUCUCUCUCUCUCUCUCUCUCUCUUUCUCUAACUCUAUCUCUCUAUCUCUAUCUCUGCUCUCCUUCUCUCAUUUUAACUCUGCAUUUCAAAUAAAUAAUAAAUAAAAUCUUCAAAGAAAAACUUUGUGGAAAAGGAGAAUGAAAAGAUAAAUUUAUUUUGGUGCAAAUUUUUUUGAAAUCCAUGUGUAAUUUUUUUUUAAGAUUUAUUUAUUUAGGCCAGCACCGCGGCUCACUUGGCUAAUCCUCCGCCUGCGGCGCCGGCACCCCGGGUUCUAGUCCCGGUUGGGGCACCGGAUUCUGUCCCAGUUGCUCCUCUUCCAAUCUAGCUCUCUGCUGUGGCCCGGGAAGGCAGUGGAGGAUGGCCCAAGUCCUUGGGCCCUGCACUCACAUGGGAGACCAGGAGGAAGCACCUGGCUCCUGGCUUCGGAUCAGCACGGUGCGCCAGCCAUAGCGACCAUUUGAGGGGUGAACCAACGGAAGGAAGACCUUUCUCUCUGUCUCUCUCUCUCAUUGUCUAAUUCUGCCUGUCAAAAAAAGAGAUUUAUUUAUUUAUUUGAAAUGCAGAGUCAGAAAGGGAGAGAGAGAGAGAGAGAGAGAGAGAGAACAAGCGUGAGGGAGCGAGCUUCUAUCCGCUGGUUCACUCCUCAAAUGGCCACAAUGACCGGGGCUGAGCCAGGCUAAAGCCAGGAGCCAGGAGCUUCAUCUGAAUCUCCCACAUAGGUGUGGGGCCCAAGUACUUGGACUAUCCUCUGCUGCUUUCUUAACCCUUAGGGAGCUGGAUCAGAAGUGGUGCAACUGGGACAUGAAGCAGUGCCUGUAUGGGAUGCUGGCAUCGCAGACAGUGGCUUCACCCACUCUGCCACACCUCCAGCCCCUGGAUUUCUAAACAUUUUUUUCCACCAAAAUAAACAUGUUUUAAUUCCACAUUCUAUGACUUUGCAGUUUGGAUGUGGACAGCAGCCAGGUUACCUCUAAAGCACCAUGCCCUCUUGGUUGCCAUCUGGAAAAACCUUGGGUAUCCAUGUGGGACAAGGAAAUAAGCAAUGUGCAACCUGCCAGCCACAGUGACCCAUUGUUCUGGCUUGUUUGGGAUCGGGGUUUCCGGGGACAUGAGAUUCUGAGGGCUAAAAACUGGCUGCUUUUGUGCCAAAAUGGGGAUACUUCUCCCUGCCAAUUUGAAAAGCUUCCAGGGCAGGAGGAAGAGGGUGGAAGAAAGAGGAGAGCACUGGAAAAUGCUAUGCCCACAGGACCUUCUGCUCAAUUAGUAGUGGGUUUUGCUCAUGGUCAGUGGCAGAGAGGCCGUAGCCCUGAGUGUUUGAGGACAACAGAGCUUUGGUAAUUUUUUUUUUUUUUUUGACAGGCAGAGUGGACAGUGAGAGAGAGAGAGAGAAAGGUCUUCCUUCCAUUGGUUCACCCCCCCAAUGGCUGCCGCAGCCAGCACACCGUGCCGAUCCGGUGGCAGGAGCCAGGUGCUUCUCCCAGUCUCCCAUGCAGGUGCAGGGCCCAAGGACUUGGGCCAUCCUCCACUGCACUCCCAGACCAUAGCAGAGAGCUGGACAGGAAGAGGGGCAACCGGGACAGAAUCCCGCAGGCGGAGGAUUAGCCUUUUGAACCGUGGCACCGGCCAGUAAAUUUUAUUUUCCAACCUCCCUCGUGGUUCCUGGACUCUCCUGAUUUUUUUGCAUAUGCAGAGUCAUCAUGAGACCAUCAAGAAACUGUAAAUUUUGAUGGCAAAGAUUGUAUUGCAUAGCAAAGUGUGAAUUAAAAAUUCCAUCUGCAAAUGAUGUUUUAAAACAGAGGUGUGUGAAAAUUCAGAGUAUCCUUAGAUUCAGGGUAAUCUUAUUUGAGUCUGCAUAGGAAAAUGUAAACUGUGCUCUAACGUAAACCAAAUCAGCUGCGAACAGUGUUCUGUUUGCCUUUUAAACACUGCAUUACAGAUGGAUUCCAUCAAAUCCGUGGCCUCUGUUUUCAAUGUUUAUAAUUUCAAGUCUCCACAAAGACUUUUUUUUGUACUUUGUUCCUUAGAAGUUAGACCCAAGGUCAGAGUGGCCCCAGCCCAGGUGAAGCCAAGAACAGGAUGGUGUUUCUAUUAGAUAAACCCACGCCUUAGCUCACAUUGGAACGUGUCUCUGUUAAGCUUUGCUUUGUUUCUGAUAAGUACAAACUGACAGCUUUUCGGCAGAGCAUUUUCUGUGAAAACAUGCGUGUAGGUUUCUCAGAGCUUAAAUUGUUAGCAGACAGAAGAUCAAGGAGAAAGAUAAAAAGACAAUUUCCCUCUUUUUCACCCAUUCCCCAGAUGGACCCUCAUUUACAUCCCUUUAUGUUUUCUGGACCUUGCAUUUGGGAUUUUCUACAGUGUGAGGACAAAUGAGACAUGACCCAGGGCGGCAGGUACGGUUAAUAAAGGCCAGCGUCUGCGCCCUGGGCGGAGAGCCUGGGGCUCAGGGCAAGUUGUACAUCUGCUGGGAGCAAUUUCCCCCGCCAAUCUGUUCGGCAUAAGGAUGUGCUUUGAGGUGCUCUUUCCCACACUCCCCAACACUUGCUAAAUAUCAAAUGGCUUAGCAAACAUACAGGUUGGUCUAACGAACAAAUACGUCUCGCCACAGAUUUUUUUUUCUUUGUCCAGUAGGCUAGGAAAUGAACAAUUAAGACAGGUACUCUGACACUUCCAAUCCUGAAAUGCAUUCUUGAAAGGAAAGCAAAUCUCUGGCAAAAGAUUUUUUUUUUUCCUUUUUCUCUGUAGGUGAGUAUGGCUGUGAGAUAUCUGAGGCUGACCUCACUGUUCAUGGUAUUGACACACUUCCCGAGGCUUUCUGGGAUUGAGCCAGGUCAGAGGUCAACAUGACGUAAAUUCUUUCCUUAUGCACUGGAGUGUGAGGCUUGCCUGGAAAAUUGCUAGCAAUAAUAUCCACCCCCCGCCACUACCCCAAAUGAAUCAGAACUAGAAAAAAAUAGCACCCUUGGACAUGGUGCUGGUGCUGGGGUGCAUCUGUGUUUUUGUGUAUGGGAGAGAGUGGUGGGGUGGGCGGGGAUCUAAUCCAAAGGUAGAAAUUGUGCAGAGGGAGUAAAGCUAAUUCCAGGGUACGUGGAAGCUAU